rnacentral:rRNA from 1 species
UACGAAGGGGGCUAGCGUUGCUCGGAAUUACUGGGCGUAAAGCGCACGUAGGCGGCUUUCUAAGUCGGGGGUGAAAUCCUGGAGCUCAACUCCAGAACUGCCUUCGAUACUGGAAAGCUCGAGUCCGGGAGAGGUGAGUGGAACUGCGAGUGUAGAGGUGAAAUUCGUAGAUAUUCGCAAGAACACCAGUGGCGAAGGCGGCUCACUGGCCCGAUACUGACGCUGAGGCACGAAAGCCAGGGGAGCAAACGGG